UCUCAAGACACAGUCAGCUGUUGGGGAUCAGAGGCGACACUCAUUGUAGCAGAGAGGCAGGACCAACUGGGAGAGGGUCCUUCUGUGACAACUAUUGCAUCACCGGGCUGUGUGAAGUGACUCAGCUGCCAGAACUCACACAAUAUCAUUCUACACCAAACCUCACGGGAAAAAUGCUCCACGACCCUCAGACUUAAACAGCAGCACUGGCUCCUCCCCAGAUCUCCAGCUCCCUGACCCUCAAACUCCAACUCCAACACCAGCUCUGCCCCAGGUCUCCAGCUCCACAAUCCUCAAACUACAACAGCAGCACCAGCUCCCCUGGGGAUCUCCAGCUCAAUGACUCUCAGACUUGGGAGGCAGCUCCAGCUCCCACCAAGCCUCCAGCUCCACAACCUUCAAACUAGAACAGCAGCACCAGCUACUCCCUGGGUCUCCAGCUCCCUCAAAAUUCAACUAUAGCACUGGCUGUUCCCCAGCGCCACCAGCUCCACAACCCUCAACUUACACGGUGGUAGCACCAGCUCCUCCCUAGGUCUCCAGCUACACGACCGUCAAACUUGAACUGCAACACCAGCUCCUCUUCGGCCUCCAGCUCCACAAUCCUCCAACAACAACAGCAACACCGGCUCCUCCCUGAAUCUCCAGCUCAACAACCCUCAGACUUGAGAGGCAGCACCGGCACCUCCCCAAGGCUCCAGCUCCAUGACCCUCAGAUUUGAACAGCGGUAGCACCAGCUCCUGUCCAGGUCUCCAGCUUCAUGAUCCUUAAACUAGAACAGCAGCACCACCACCUCCCUAGGUUUCCAGCUCCACGACCCUAAGACAUGAAUGGCAGGACCGGGUUCCCCGCUAGGGCUCCAGCUCCAAGACCCACAGAUAUAAACGGCAGCACCGGCUCUUCCUGGGAUCUCCAGCUCCACAGCCUUCAAACACGAUCAGCAGCACCAGCUCCCCUCUGGUUCUCCAGCUCCACAAUCCUCAGACAUGAACAGCAGCACAGGCUCCUCCUUGGGUCUCCAGCUUCUCUACCCUCAGACUAGAACAGCAACACUUGUUCCUCCCUGGGUCUCCAGCUCUUACAAGUCUCAGACUUGAAAGGCAGCACUGGCUCCUCAGAAAGUUUCUGGCUCCAAGCUGGUGCUGCUGUCCUAGUUUGAAGGUCAUGGAGCUGGAGACCCCGGAAUGAGCCAUUUGAACAGCAGCACUGGCCCCUCCCCAGGUCUCAGGCUCCACGACCCUCAGACUUAAAAAGCCGUAGUACGGGCUUCUCCCUGGGUCUCCAGCUCUACAACCCUCAGACAUGAACAGCAGCACCGGCUCCUCCCCCUGUCUCCAGUUCCACGAACCUCAAACUACAACAGCAGUACCGGCCUCUCCCCAGGUCUCCAGAUCCAUGACCCUCAAAAUAGAAUGGCAUCAUCAGCUCCUCCCUGGGUCUCCAGCUCCCAAACCCUCAAACUUCAACUAACACAGCAGAUCCUCCCCACAGUUAAACAGCAGCACGGGCUGUUCCCCAAAGCUCCAGAUACACGACCCUCAGUAGCACUGGCUCCUCCCAAGGUCUCCAGUUCCAUGACCCUCAAACUACACAGCAGCACCGGCUCCUCCCCAGGUCUAUAGCUCCACCACCCUCACACUAGACAUCAAGACUACCUCCUUCCCGCUCUCCAGCUACACGACCCUCAAACUUGAACAGCAGCAGCAGCUCCUCCCUAGAUUUCCAGCUCCAUGACCCUAAACCUGCAACAGCAGCACCAGCUCCUCCCUGUACCUCAAGCCCCAUGACCCUCUGACUUGAUCAACAGCAACAGCAGCUCCCUCCCUGGUCUCCAGCUCCACAACCUUCAGCCUUAAACAGCAGCAGCACCAGCUCCUCCCUGGGUCUCCAGCUCCACAACCCUCAGACUAGAACCGCACCCCUCCUCCCUGAGUCUCCAGCUCCAUGACCGUCAAACUACAACAGCAACACAGGUUCCUGUCUGGAUCUCCAGCUCAGCAACUCUCAGAUGAGGCAGCACCGGCAACUCACCAAGGCUCCAGCUCCACAACCCUCAGAUUUGAAUAAUGGUAGCACCAGCUCCUGUCCAGAUCUCCAGCUUCAUGAUCCUUAAACUAGAACAGCAGCACCGCUGCCUCCCUGGGUUUCCAGCUCCACGACCCUAAGACAUGAAUGGCAGAACCGGCUUCCCACAAGGGUUCCAGCUCCAGGACCCACAGAUUUAAAUGGCAGCACUGGCUCUUCCCAGGAUUUCCAGCUCCACUACCCUCAAACUAGAAGAGGAGCACCGGCUCCUCCCUGGGUCUCCAGCUCCCAAACCCUCAGACAUCACCUGACACACUGGAUCCUCCCCACAGUUACAUAGCAGCACGGGCUGUCCCCGAAAACUCGAGAUCCACAACCCUCUGACUUCAAUGGCGGUAGUACUGGUUCCUCCCUAGGUCUCCAGUUCCAUGACCCUCAAACUACACAGCAGCACCAGCUCCUCCCCAGGUCUACAGCUCCACCACCCUCACACUAGACACCAGGACUACCUCCUCCCCGCUCUCCAGCUACACGACCCGCAGAUUUGAACAGCAGCAGCGUCUCCUCCCUGUACCUCAAGCCCCAUAACCCUCAUAUAUGAACAACAGCAAUACCAGCUAAUGCCUAGGGCUCCAGCUCCAGGAUCCACAGAUUUAAACUGCAGCACCAGCUCGUCCAAGGAUCUCCAGCUCCACCACCCUCAGACUAGAACAAGACCUCUACUCCCUGGGUCGCGAGCUUCCGGACCCUCGAACUAUGAAAACAUUGCUCCUCCCUGGGUCCGCAGCUCCACGACCCUCAAACCAGAUCAAGAUCUCUCCUCCCUGUGUCGUCAGCUUCCUGACCCUUGAACUAUGACAACAUUGCUCCUCCCUGGGUCAGCAGCUCCACAACCCUCAAACCAGAUCAAGAUCUCUCCUCCCUGGGUCGCCAGCUUCCUGACCCUCGAACAACAGAAACAUUACUCCUCCCUGGGUCAGCAGCUCCAUGAUCCUCAAACUAGAAUGAGACCUCUCCUCCCUGCGUCGCCAGCUUCUGGACCCUUGAACUAUGAAAAUAUUGCUCCUCCCUGGGUCGGGAGCUCCAUGACCCUCAAACUAGAACAAGACCUCUCCUCCCUAGGUCUGCAGCUUCCAGUCCCUCAAAUAACAACAUUGCUCCUCCCUGGAUCUGCAGCUCCACGACCCUCAGACUAGAACACGAUCUGUCCUCCCUGGGUCACCAGCUUCCGAACCUUCGAACUAAAACAACAUUGCUCCUCCCUGGGUCUGCAGCUCCACGACCCUCAAACUAGAAAAAGACCUCUCCUCACUGUGUCGCCAGCUUCUGGACCCUCGAACUACAAAAACAUUGCUCCUGCCUGGGUCUGCAGCUCCACGACCCUCAAUCCAGAUCAAGAUCUCUCCUCCCUGUGUCAUCAGCUUCCUGACCCUCGAACUAUGACAGCAUUGCUCCUCCCUGGGCGCACCCUCAAACUAGAACAAGACCUCUCCACCCUGCGUCGCCAGUUUCCGGAGCCUCAAACUAAAACAACCUUGCUCCUCCCUGGGUCUGCAGCUCCACAACCCUCAAACUAGAACCAGACCUCUCCUCCCUGUGUUGCCAGCUUCCUGACCCUUGAACUAUGGAAACAUGGCUCCUCCCUAGGUCUGCAGCUCCACGACCCUCAAACUAAAACAAGAUCUCUCCUCCCUGGGUCUGCAGCUCCACGACCCUCAAACUAAAACAAGAUCUCUCCUCCCUGUGUCAUCAGCUUCCAGUCCCUCAAAUAACAACAUUGCUCCUCCCUGGGUCUGCAGCUCCACGACCCUCAAACUAAAACAAGACCUCUCCUCUCUAGGUCUGCAGCUUCCAGUCCCUCAAAUAACAACAUUGCUCCUCCCUGGAUCUGCAGCUCCAUGACUCUCAGACUACAACAAGAUCUCUCCUCCCUGGGUCACCAGCUUCCGGACCCUCGAACUACGAAAACAUUGCUCCUCCCUGGGUCUCCAGCUCCAUGACCCUCAAACUAAAACAAGAUCUCUCCUCCCUGUGUCAUCAGCUUCCAGUCCCUCAAAUAACAACAUUGCUCCUCCCUGGGUCUGCAGCUCCACGACCCUUAAACUAGAACAAGACCUCUCCUCACUGUGUCGCCAGCUUCCGGACCCUUGAACUAUGAAAACAUUGCUCCUCCCUGGGUCCGCAGCUCCACGACCCUCAAACUAAAACAAGAUCUCUCCUCCCUAGGUCUGCAGCUUCCAGUCCCUCAAAUAACAACAUUGCUCCUCCCUGGAUCUGCAGCUCCACGACCCUCAGACUAGAACAAGACCUCUCCUCCCUGAGUCACCAGCUUCCGAACCUUCGAACUAAAACAACAUUGCUCCUCCCUGGGUCCGCAGCUCCAUGACCCUCAAACUAGAACAAGACCUCUCCUCCCUAGGUCUGCAGCUUCCAGUCCCCAAAUAACAACAUUGCUCCUCCCUGGAUCUGCAGCUCCACGACCCUCAGACUAGAACAAGAUCUCUCCUCCCUGGGUCACCAGCUUCCGGACCCUGGAACUACAAAAACAUUGCUCCUCCCUGGGUCUGCAGCUCCACAACCCUCAAACUAAAACAAGAUCUCUCCUCCCUGUGUUGCCAGCUUCCGGACCCUCGAACUAUGACAACAUUGCUCCUCCCUGGGUCUGCAGCUCCACGACCCUCAAAGCAGAUCAAGAUCUCUCCUUCCUGUGUCAUCAGCUUCCUGACCCUUGAACUAUGACAACAUUGCUCCUCCCUGGGUCUGCAGCUCCAUGACUCUCAAACUAGAACAGCAGCACCAGCUCCUUCCUGGACCUCCAGGUCAAUGACUCUCAGACUUCAAAGGCAGCAGCAGCUCCACCCCCAGGCUCCAGCUCUAAAACCCUCAGAUGUGAGCAGUGGCAGCACCAGCUCCUUUCUGCGUCUCCGGCUUCAUGAUCCUUAAAUUAGAACAGCAGCGCCAUCUUCUCCCUGCGUCUCCAGCUCCAGGAACCUCAAACUGCAACAGGAGCACCUGUUCCUCUGGGAUUUUCACCUCCACGACCCUGAGGUGUCAGUGGCAGCACUGGCUCCUCCCCUGGGCUGCAGCUCCAGAACCCUCAAGAAUAAUCCCUUCUCAUGAAAUGUAGCAGUCAGGAAAACUGCAGAGGAAGUAAAUAAAUAAAUGUUUUCUUUCAAACUGAUGUUUCUUUUAUAUUCAC
rnacentral:lncRNA from 1 species